rnacentral:rRNA from 1 species
UAACUGGCGGCGGCUUACCAUGCNAGUCGAGCGGAAACGAUGAUAGCUUGCUAUCAGGCGUCGAGCGGCGGACGGGUGAGUAAUACUUAGGAAUCUACCUAGUAGUGGGGGAUAGCUCGGGGAAACUCGAAUUAAUACCGCAUACGACCUACGGGAGAAAGGGGGCAGUUUACUGCUCUCGCUAUUAGAUGAGCCUAAGUCGGAUUAGCUAGAUGGUGGGGUAAAGGCCUACCAUGGCGACGAUCUGUAGCUGGUCUGAGAGGAUGAUCAGCCACACCGGGACUGAGACACGGCCCGGACUCCUACGGGAGGCAGCAGUGGGGAAUAUUGGACAAUGGGGGCAACCCUGAUCCAGCCAUGCCGCGUGUGUGAAGAAGGCCUUUUGGUUGUAAAGCACUUUAAGCAGUGAAGAAGACUCCAUGGUUAAUACCCAUGGACGAUGACAUUAGCUGCAGAAUAAGCACCGGCUAACUCUGUGCCAGCAGCCGCGGUAAU